CUACUGCUAAGAGAAAUGAGUGAAGAUGAAUGUCCAACUUAGGUUGAUCUCACAAAUCCAUAUUUUGCUGAAGAAGUUAGGAAAACAGUCUUCAGGUAAUAUUGCUGACAUGAGGUUUCAGGCCAUGUUUACUUCUCCGUUAUGUAAUGUGGUUCCUUCAAGUCCAAAUGUCAAGAAGACAGAAGUAGUAGAAAGGACCUUGGAAGAGCAAUCUUGCUGACAGGAGGAAAACUAUCAAGAUCUUAUGGAGGAAAGCAAGCAAAAGAAGAAUGGGAUGAAAAAAAGUUUGCUGAGAAAUCCAUGGAUCCCGCCUUAUCGAUACUAGUAAAAUCUGUCAGAAACAAAACUGAACAGUUUCAGGAAAGGAAAAAGCAUAAAAUCAAGUAACUGAUCUUUGUUUUUACACAGACUUUACUUUUGUACGUGUUCUUCUAACUGACAACCUCUAUUGAAGCUACUGCAGUCACUUCCUAUCAACUUAAAAUUUUCAGAAAGGUCACAUAAAUCUAGUGGCUAGUUUUGCAGUAACUAGAGUAACAUUAGCCCUUUCCUUCUGCCCCCAAAUAGUUUAGUACUGUUGUUGGAAAAACAGCACCUUGAGUAUAUAGCUAAGAAAUUGUUCAUUUAAGAGCUCUGUUUUUUUUUGUUUUGCCUGAUUAAAAAAAAAACCACAAAAACAAUCUCUUAAAGGUAAUAGAAGUACUGAAGGUAUCUACAAAAACUAGCCGUGAUUGUGCUUCUAUUUAAAAAUAACAAAAUCACUUCUGCAGAGUGCUUAGAGCUGAGGCUCAUUAGUCUAAAUGCUUUUAAUUCUGAAGAAGUCUGUAAACAUACCUGUUGAUUAAAGAAGGUAUUAAUGUAACUAAAAUUGAAGAAAUGUUGUAUACUGAUCUCUUUUGCGUAUUUUUAAAUGAUUCCAUACAUGCUAGAUGAUUAAAUAAUUGAAGAUUUUGUGGAUCUCAUCAGAACUAAUGAAUAGAAGAAAAAAAAAAUGCAGUUUA